AAGGAAGCCUUUAAGGUAUGCAGGUAUGGGAUGGGCCCGCGUCUGAUUAGCUAGUUGGUGAGGUAACGGCUCACCAAGGCGACGAUCAGUAGCCGGCUUGAGAGAGUGACCGGCCACAUUGGGACUGAGACACGGCCCAAACUCCUACGGGAGGCAGCAGUGGGGAAUAUUGCACAAUGGGGGAAACCCUGAUGCAGCGACGCCGCGUGAGUGAAGAAGUACUUCGGUACGUAAAGCUCUAUCAGCAGGGAAGAAGAUGACGGUACCUGACUAAGAAGCCCCGGCUAACUACGUGCCAGCAGCCGCGGUAAUUC
rnacentral:rRNA from 1 species